CAGGUCAAUAUGGCGUCAGAAGGGCCCCUUUCUCAGGAUUGCCCUACUUGCUCUACUGCACGGCUGGCCCUUCAGGACCAUUCGUGGGCUGCCAGACAACUCCUCUGCCUGGGUGGCCUCUGGGAACACGACCACUGCCUCCAUGCACACCACUUGGACAAGCUGAAAAUUGAAGAGGCCCCUGAGCUGUGACAGCCAUGCUGUGGCUCCUACAUAAUUUGGAAAAAGUAUCCAAUACAUUUUAUGCUCCCUGCCCAGUGCUGCCUUGUCUGUCUCUAAUCUUCCGUAGUGUUUCUCCUAAUAAAGGUUUGCAGUCCUA